rfam:Daphnia pulex DAPPTscaffold_10755_Cont18004, whole genome shotgun sequence.
GAGAGCCGUGUGCGGGAGAACCGCACGCACGGUUCGGAGGGAGGGGAGGACGAGAGUCCUUCUCUACCCCUAU